ACCCGCUGAACUUAAGCAUAUCAAUAAGCGGAGGAAAAGAAACCAACAGGGAUUGCCCUAGUAACGGCGAGUGAAGCGGCAACAGCUCAAAUUUGAAAUCUGGCUCCUCCGGCGCCCGAGUUGUAAUUUGCAGAGGAUGCUUCGGCGUCGGCUCCGGUCUAAGUUCCUUGGAACAGGACGUCGCAGAGGGUGAGAAUCCCGUACGUGACCGGCCGCCUUCGCCGUGUGAAGCUCCUUCGACGAGUCGAGUUGUUUGGGAAUGCAGCUCUAAAUGGGAGGUAAAUUUCUUCUAAAGCUAAAUACCGGCCAGAGACCGAUAGCGCACAAGUAGAGUGAUCGAAAGAUGAAAAGCACUUUGAAAAGAGAGUUAAAAAGUACGUGAAAUUGUUGAAAGGGAAGCGCUUGCAACCAGACUUGUCCGCGGUUGCUCAUCCGGCCCUCUCGGCCGGUGCACUCUUCCGCGGUCAGGCCAGCGUCAGUCUGGGCGGCCGGAUAAAGGCCCCGGGAAUGUAGCUCCUCUCGGGGAGUGUUAUAGCCCGGGGCGCAAUGCGGCCAGCCCGGACUGAGGUCCGCGCUUCGGCUAGGACGCUGGCGUAAUGGUUGUAAGCGGCCCGUCUUGAAACACGG
rnacentral:rRNA from 1 species